ensembl:misc_RNA Metazoa_SRP Metazoan signal recognition particle RNA
GCCAGGCAUGGUGGCAUGUGCCUGUAGUCCCAGCUACUCAGGAGGCUGAGGUGGGAGGAUCACUUGAGCCCAGGAGUUUUGGGCUGUAGUGCGCCAUGUCGAUCGGGUGUCUGCACUAAGUUCAGCAUCAAUAUGGUGACCUCUCAGGAGUGGGGGACCACCAGGCUGCCUAAGGAGGGGUGAACCAGCUCAGGUCAGAAAUGGCAGGUCAAAAUUCCCAUGCUGAUCAUCAGUGGGAUUGCGCCUGUGAAUAGCCACAGCACUCCAGCCUGGACAACAUAGUGAGACCCUGUCUCAA